UUUCUCCACGAUUUGCAACUA
rnacentral:piRNA from 1 species